UACGGAGGGGGCUAGCGUUGUUCGGAAUUACUGGGCGUAAAGCGCACGUAGGCGGCUUGGUAAGUUAGAGGUGAAAGCCUGGAGCUCAACUCCAGAAUUGCCUUUAAGACUGCCGAGCUAGCAGGUGAGAGAGGUGAGUGGAAUUCCGAGUGUAGAGGUGAAAUUCGUAGAUAUUCGGAAGAACACCAGUGGCGAAGGCGGCUCACUGGUCCGGUACUGACGCUGAGGCGCGAAAGCGUGGGGAGCAAACAGG
rnacentral:rRNA from 1 species